GAUGAACGCUGGCGGCGUGCCUAAUACAUGCAAGUCGAGCGAACAGACGAGGAGCUUGCUCCUCUGACGUUAGCGGCGGACGGGUGAGUAACACGUGGAUAACCUACCUAUAAGACUGGGAUAACUUCGGGAAACCGGAGCUAAUACAGGAGAAUAUAUUGAACCGCAUGGUUCAAUAGUGAAAGACGGUUUUGCUGUCACUUAUAGAUGGAUCCGCGCCGCAUUAGCUAGUUGGUAAGGUAACGGCUUACCAAGGCAACGAUGCGUAGCCGACCUGAGAGGGUGAUCGGCCACACUGGAACUGAGACACGGUCCAGACUCCUACGGGAGGCAGCAGUAGGGAAUCUUCCGCAAUGGGCGCAAGCCUGACGGAGCAACGCCGCGUGAGUGAUGAAGGUCUUCGGAUCGUAAAACUCUGUUAUUAGGGAAGAACAAAUGUGUAAGUAACUAUGCACGUCUUGACGGUACCUAAUCAGAAAGCCACGGCUAACUACGUG
rnacentral:rRNA from 1 species